UACGUAGGGGGCUAGCGUUGUCCGGAUUUAUUGGGCGUAAAGAGCGUGUGGGCGGCCAGGUAGGUCUGCUGUGAAAACUCGAGGCUCAACCUCGAGACGUCGGCGGAAACCAUCUGGCUAGAGUCCGGAAGAGGAGAGUGGAAUUCCUGGUGUAGCGGUGAAAUGCGCAGAUAUCAGGAAGAACACCCGUGGCGAAGGCGGCUCUCUGGGACAGUACUGACGCUGAGACGCGAAAGCGUGGGGAGCGAACAGG
rnacentral:rRNA from 1 species